GGAGUGCAGUGGUGCGAUCUGGGUUCAUUGCAACUUCUGCCUCCCAGGUUCAAGUGAUUCUCCUGCCUCAGCCUCCUGAGUAGAUGGGAUUGUAUGCAUCCACCACCAUGCCUGGCUAAUUUUUAUAUUUUUGUAGAGAUGGGGUUUUACCAUGUUGACCAGGAUGGCCUUGAUCUCUUGACCUCGUGAUCUCCCUGCCACGGCCUCCCUGAACUGCUGGAAUUACAGGCUUCCAAGUGAGAAGUUCAGGGCUUCACAAUUGAGAACCAGAAAGAAAAGGAGAAACUGGCCUUUGUUGAGUAUCAACUGUCAACAUUCUUGGAUAAGAAAGAUGCUAUUGGUGGGAUGCGGAAGUGAUGACUGAUUGAAAAGUGUUAAACAGACUAAUCAAGUGAUUCCUAGGCUGAGAUGGCUCCAGGGCCUUAGAUUCCUACAUAUACAAAGUGAGACAACUCAAUGUAAAUAACAUUCUGUUUUAUUUAUUUUUUAAAUAAACUCACCGAUCUCUGAAAUUUACCUUUUUUUUUCCUCUGUAUAUGUUUAUUUGCUUCCUUCACAUAAACUAUGUAUAUGUUUAUUUGCUUCCUUCACAUAAACUAUGUAAGGGUUUGUUCAAGAUGUUAGGUUCAGGAACUUCAUAUAUAUUUGUUGAAUGAAGAAAUGAAUGAUUGAAUGGUAAGUAGCUUACGUUAGAUCACGUAGUUAGUGCACAGUUGAGCCAGGUCCUAAACUGAGGUUUGCCUGCCUCUUCUUAGGAAAGUGAAGUCAUAGAAGGGGAGUACUAAGCAUAGUAGAAUUCAAGAUAGGAUGAUACCAAAUAGUAGAGCUUUUCCUAUUGCAUAGUUUGGCUUGGGCGAGAGUAGUCCACAGUCUAAAAUUGUAUUUCUCAAAGGAAAAGAUCCACCUCACUGGUAUCAGAAUCACUGGGAAGCUAUUAAAAGUAUGACUUAUUGGGAUCUGUCCCAUACCUACUGAAUUUGACUCUGGAGGUGCUACCAGAGGGGCUGAUUUUGUAAAUAAGGUCUCCCAAGGUUUCUCAUGGACUGUAAUUUUGAGACCCACAGGCUUGAAAGAAAUUUGCUCCUGACUGCACAACAUUUAUUCAGAUGUCUGAAGUUCCUUAGCCAUACGUCAUUCUCACAUAUUGGUUAAUUUGCCCUGGGUAGGUACUUAUUUCUCAGGUCAACUCACUCUUUUAGAGCAGAAAAGAGACAACACUCCCCUGGGUUAAGAAGCACAACCCUUCAUCUGCGGCACAGCCUCCUCCUUUUAAACCCUCCACCCUUUAGAAUUUACAAUCAGAGAUGAAGGUGUUACCUCUUGCUUUGCAGAUCUGCAUGGAACUUG